UCACUCCUACGGGAGGCAGCAGUGGGGAAUAUUGCACAAUGGGGGAAACCCUGAUGCAGCGACGCCGCGUGAGUGAAGAAGUAUUUCGGUAUGUAAAGCUCUAUCAGCAGGAACGAGACAAGACGGUACCUGACUAAGAAGCCCCGGCUAACUACGUGCCAGCAGCCGCGGUAAUACGUAGGGGGCAAGCGUUAUCCGGAAUCACUGGGCGUAAAGGGAGCGUAGACGGCUGAGCAAGCCUGAGGUGAAAGGCGGGGGCCCAACCCCAGGACUGCUAUGGGCACUGUACGGCUGGAGUGCAGGAG
rnacentral:rRNA from 1 species